rnacentral:rRNA from 2 species
UGGGGAAUAUUGGGCAAUGGGCGCAAGCCUGACCCAGCGACGCCGCGUGAGGGAAGACGGUCUUCGGAUUGUAAACCUUUGUUGAUGGGGAAGAAACAUGACGGUACCCAUCGAGGAAGCCACGGCUAACUACGUGCCAGCAGCCGCGGUAAUACGUAGGUGGCGAGCGUUAUCCGGAUUUACUGGGUGUAAAGGGUGUGUAGGCGGAGAAGCAAGUCAGAUGUGAAAAUUACGGGCUCAACCUGUAACCUGCGUCUGAAACUGUUUCCCUUGAGAGUCGGAGAGGUAAACGGAAUUCCUGGUGUAGCGGUGAAAUGCGUAGAUAUCAGGAGGAACACCGGUGGCGAAGGCGGUUUACUGGACGACAACUGACGCUGAGACACGAAAGCGUGGGGAGCAAACAGG